CCUACGGGAGGCAGCAGUGGGGAAUUUUGGACAAUGGGCGAAAGCCUGAUCCAGCAAUGCCGCGUGUGGGAAGAAGGCCUUCGGGUUGUAAACCACUUUUGUACGGAACGAAACGGUUCGCUUUAAUACAGUGGGCUAAUGACGGUACCGUAAGAAUAAGCACCGGCUAACUACGUGCCAGCAGCCGCGGUAAUACGUAGGGUGCGAGCGUUAAUCGGAAUUACUGGGCGUAAAGUGUGCGCAGGCGGUUGUAUAAGACAGUUGUGAAAUCCCCGGGGCUCAACCUGAGAAUUGCAUCUGUGACUGUAUAGCUAGAGUGCGGUAGAGGGGGAUGGAAUUCCGCGUGUAGCAGUGAAAUGCGUAGAUAUGCGGAGGAACACCGAUGGCGAAGGCAAUCCCCCUGGACCUGUACUGACGCUCAUGCACGAAAGCGUGGGGAGCAAACAGGAUUAGAUACCCUGGUAGUCCACGCCCUAAACCGAUGUCAACUGGUUGUUGGGUUGCAUUAGUACUCAGUAACCGAAGCUAACGCGUGAAGUUGACCGCCUGGGGAGUACGGCCGCAAGGUUGAAACUCAAAUGAAUUGACGGCUGNGAGNGCGAGACGACGACGAGGGAGGAGG
rnacentral:rRNA from 1 species